rnacentral:rRNA from 1 species
CCUACGGGAGGCAGCAGUGGGGAAUAUUGGGCAAUGGGCGCAAGCCUGACCCAGCAACGCCGCGUGAAGGAAGAAGGCUUUCGGGUUGUAAACUUCUUUUCUCAUGGACGAAGCAAGUGACGGUACCUGAGGAAUAAGCCACGGCUAACUACGUGCCAGCAGCCGCGGUAAUACGUAGGUGGCAAGCGUUAUCCAGAUUUACUGGGUGUAAAGGUCGUGUAGGCGGGACUGCAAGGCAGAUGUGAAAACCACGGGCUCAACCUGUGGCCUGCAUUUGAAACUGUAGUUCUUGAGGACUGGAGAGGCAGACGGAAUUCCUGGUGUAGCGGUGAAAUGCGUAGAUAUUAGGAGGAACACCAGUGGCGAAGGCGGUCUGCUGGACAGCAACUGACGCUGAGGCGCGAAAGCGUGGGGAGCAAACAGGAUUAGAUACCCGUGUAGUC